rnacentral:rRNA from 1 species
AGAGUUUGAUCAUGGCUCAGGAUGAACGCUAGCGGCAGGCCUAAUACAUGCAAGUCGAGGGGUAAGAGUCAGCUUGCUGACUACACGACUGGCGCACGGGUGCGUAACGCGUAUGCAACCUACCUUUAACAGAGGAAUAGCCCCGAGAAAUCGGGAUUAAUACCACAUAACAUUAUGAUAUGGCAUCAUAUUAUAAUUAAAACUCCGGUGGUUAAAGAUGGGCAUGCGUGACAUUAGCUAGUUGGUGAGGUAACUGCUCACCAAGGCUACGAUGUCUAGGGGUUCUGAGAGGAUGAUCCCCCACACUGGUACUGAGACACGGACCAGACUCCUACGGGAGGCAGCAGUAAGGAAUAUUGCGCAAUGGAGGCAACUCUGACGCAGCCAUGCCGCGUGCAGGAUUGAAGGCCUUAUGGGUCGUAAACUGCUUUUAUUUAGGAAUAAACUUUCGUACGUGUACGAAACUGAAGGUACUAAACGAAUAAGCACCGGCUAACUCAGUGCCAGCAGCCGCGGUAAUACUGAGGGUGCAAGCGUUAAUCGGAAUUACUGGGCGUAAAGCGCGCGUAGGUGGUUAGAUCAGUUGGGUGUGAAAGCCCCGGGCUCAACCUGGGAACUGCAUUCAAUACUGUCUAGCUAGAGUAUAGUAGAGGGAAGUGGAAUUCCGCAUGUAGCGGUGAAAUGCGUAGAGAUGCGGAGGAACACCAGUGGCGAAGGCGACUUUCUGGACUAAUACUGACGCUGAGGAGCGAAAGCAUGGGGAGCGAACAGGAUUAGAUACCCUGGUAGUCCAUGCCGUAAACGUUGGGCACUAGAUGUGGGAUCUCGCUAACAGAUUCCGUGUCGCAGCUAACGCAUUAAGUGCCCCGCCUGGGGAGUACGGCCGCAAGGCUAAAACUCAAAGGAAUUGACGGGGGCCCGCACAAGCGGCGGAGCAUGUUGCUUAAUUCGAGGCAACGCGAAGAACCUUACCUGGGUUUGACAUGUAGGGAAAAGCCAUAGAGAUAUGGUGUCCUUAGGGGCCCUACACAGGUGGUGCAUGGCUGUCGUCAGCUCGUGUCGUGAGAUGUUGGGUUAAGUCCCGCAACGAGCGCAACCCUUAUUCUAUGUUGCCAGCGGAUAAUGCCGGGGACUCGUAGAAGACUGCCGGGGUCAACUCGGAGGAAGGUGGGGACGACGUCAAGUCAUCAUGCCCCUUAUAUCCAGGGCUGCAAACAUGCUACAAUGGCCAGUACAGAGGGCUGCAAAACCGCGAGAUUGAGCGAAUCCCACAAAGCUGGUCUCAGUUCGGAUUGGAGUCUGCAACUCGACUCCAUGAAGGCGGAGUCGCUAGUAAUCCCGGAUCAGCAACGCCGGGGUGAAUACGUUCCCGGGCCUUGUACACACCGCCCGUCACACCACGAAAGUCGGCAACACCCGAAGUCAGUGGCCUAACUCUUAGGAGAAGGAGCUGCCGAAGGUGGGGUUGGUAAUUGGGGUGAAGUCGUAACAAGGUAACC